UAGAUCCUACUGCCUCCUUCAAACAGCCCCACGCAGACGAGGAGACCCUUAGAACUGUCAUCAUGGUUUCGCAAGAUAAGGACACUCUGUAUGGCACAUGGCAUGAACCAUCUGGGAGCACCAAUGAAUGGGUGCCACCUGAAGACGUAGAGAUCUUCCAGACUGGCUGAAAGAAGAAAAUGGGUCGAAAUCUCGGACAUGCAGAGGCGUGGCACCCCAAGGCACUUGCUGCCUGGCGACCCUGUCUGCAGCCCGGCAGGAAACCCUCACCGAACCCCAACCCCAACCCCAUCCCCA